UGCGGAGUAGAGCAGUUUGGUAGCUCGUCGGGCUCAUAACCCGAAGGUCAUAGGUUCAAAUCCUAUCUCCGCUA
rnacentral:tRNA from 1 species